UUUGGUGAUUCUAGCGACGGAGGUACACCCGGCCACAUCCCGAACCCGGAAGUUAAGACCGCCAGCGCCGAUGGUACUUGGGGGGUAGCCCCCUGGGAGAGUAGGUCAUCGCCAAGG
rnacentral:rRNA from 1 species